rnacentral:tRNA from 1 species
GAGCCCGUGGUCUAGCGGUAUGAUAUUUCCUUCACAGGGAAAUGGUCGCCAGUUCGAAUCUGGCCGGGCUCA